UAGGCGGCGCUGCCCGUCAGAUCUGAGUUCCCCGUUCCCCUUCGCUCCUUUUCCUACCGCCUGACUCUGCAGCAAGUCAUACCUAUACCUAUCAGUAUUAGUAUAUGUCGCCGUAGUGUUCCCGUGCUUCUCGUAGGAAGAAGAAUCGACGAUGCGAGCUUGGUUCCAGAAGUAUUGUUGGUGGAUUAUUGUUCGUUCGAAGUUAUCUUGUCGUGUCGUCUGAUGUGGACAGACUGAUCUAUCUCUAUGUAUUGGAUGGACCGAAGUUAUGCAAGUCUAAGUUAUGCUGUCUGAUUAUUGAUCUCGAUGAAACUUGCAUAUCAUUUUCAUUUUCCUAAAACAAAAACAGUUUAUUUUUUUCAUUUUGUGAAGUGUCAGGUUUCCAGUUGUUGGAUCUUUGUGUGCAUCUCGGAGCGUGCUCCUCUGUGGUUGUACAGGCUUGAUUGUUCAUUGUUUUAUGUGACUGUUUAGUGUGGUUGGAUGGAUUGUGGAAAUUGCAUGCUUAACUAUGACUGUUCACAGAUUAGUAUUAGUACAUUUGUUCAGAGAUUAGUUUUAGUACAUUUGUUCAGAGAUUAGUUUUUUUCAUGUGUUAUAUUUGUUCAGAUAUUAGUAUUGGUAUAUAUGUUUGAUGCAUGAAUGAACAGCCCCACUAUUUAUAUCUGUGUACUGAGGUCAACAAGGUUUCGUAGCUAUGUUGUGCUUACAGUUUCUCUAUGCUUUCUGUUCCUUUGUCUGUCAGCUUGCAUCGUUGUUCAGUAUAUCGGUAUUUGGAGUUUUAAUCUGUCUUACUUACAGUCAUUGAGCUCUUGCCUGGCGAUGGCUUCUUAUAUCCAGUAAUUUUCUUUUGGUCUCUCUUUGUCGUCAACCUCUUACUCAGUUUUUAGCCUUUUAAUUCUCAUCUUUUUUCUUCAGCUUCACCAGUUUCUUUGUUCCUGUUUGAAGUUUCUCAAAUUUUGUCCAUGGCACAUUGCAUUAUUUAUUCAUAUUGCGGUAAUGAUUAUGACAAUUAUAUCCUUAUUUUUUGGAAGUGACAAACAAAGAAGCACCCAGAGUUAAGACACUUUCUUUUUGCAAGCUUUAUUUUUUUGCAUUUGCAUGGUUGGUUUUUGCAUUGGUGAAUUUCAUGUGCAACCAAGCUGUAAGUCAGUCACCUUGUUUCAUUUUGUACUGAUGAAUGGAAGUUAUCGUUUGCUUGCUAUGAAGUUCUUUUUUUUUUAAAUCUAAAAUUGACAGGCAAUUGCAUUUGUAGCCAUAAACGGAACAGACACCUUUGUGAUAGUCCAAGUAGCAUACUUUUGUUAGCUAUUCAGAAAAGAUGUUGCUAUACUAUCUCUUACUGCGGCUUAAAUUGUUUUAAAUUGUUGUUCUCAUCUUUCUAUGUCUUUGUUCCGUCAGUCUUGUAUCUCAUCAGGAUUUAGUGUGUGUUUUGUCAGUCUUCAGUGUCUUGCAUCUCAUCAGGAUUUAGUGUGUGUUUCUUCAGUCUUUUCUCUGUCAGUGUUUAGAUUUCAGUGCUAUAUCAGAUACAGUAUAUCUUUACCAACGCAGCAUUUUGUCAAAAAAUCAAGUCUAUCUAGCUUUUUCUCUUACAUUUUUGCCUCGAGUUUUUGUGCAGCUAUGUUUUCUUUUUCCAGAGAUGAUCACAUGUAUGUAUUUUACCGUGUGUUUAUCUAGUUGUAAUGUCAAGUGCCAGGUCAUUGUGGGAUGAAUGUUUCUCGAGUAUGAUCUGUAGUAGACUACGAAGAAUCCUGAAAUCUCGGAUUUUGGUGGCAAAUUAGACUCUGCGUAUAUAUUAAUAUCAAAGUAGACUAUCAAUUUAAUUUUGAUUGGUGAUGCUUAUCAUGUGCAUUGUGGGAUCAAUGUUUCUUGAUUUUUAGUUGUAGAGUAUUUUUAGGAGCCGAUGGAUCUUGAAUUCAAGGACUAGUUCUGAAUCUGUUACAUUUUGGCCAACGAGCUCAGUGAGUUACUCCCUUUGUUUGGAAUUACUCGUCGAAGAAAUGAAUGUAUCUAGAUAUAUUUUAGUUGUAGAUACAUCCAUUUUUGUUUCCGGAGGGAGUACAUGUCAACAAUUUACUCUAGCAUUGUAUAUUUGAACUCGUCUGGCUGGGCAACUUGUACCGUUUAUAUGGUUUUAUUUAGUUUUGUGUAUACAUAACCUGAUUUCAUAUGCUUGGCUGAAAAUUGCACGGGUAAGUUUCAUGUUGCUUGUUCCGAAGAGUGCUGUAUGGAGGUUUGGUUAUCAAUGAAUGUCAAAGGAUGAAAAGAGCAACAACAGAAUAAGGUCAUUUUGCUUACCUCUCCAGGAUUUUAGUGUGUUUCUUCAGUCUUCUCUCUGUUUUCACUUAAGAUGUCAGUGCGAAAACACCCGUGUCUUAUGAAAUCCAUUUCUUUAAAUGUAACCUUCAAAUUUUCUAGCUUGCAGGACUAUCCGUCCUUUUUACAUUUUUGCCUUCGGUUUUUGUGUUACUUCUGCUGAAGGUGGAUGCUGUCGGUUUUCCAAAUUGUGAACAUGAGCAAGGUAGGAAUUACGUAGUUUCAGCUUUCAUGAAACAGAAAAGCUAACCAGCGAACGUGAGAUUUUUGGUGAUCUCCAGCGAAACACCCUUCCUCAUCCUGAUCCACCCCCGCCCCCACUUUCCUCUUCAGAGCAAGCCCCCUCCUCGAUCGUCGGCGAGUCUAUUCUCGUCGUCUAUGAUAUCUUGUGCGGCCGCGUCGAGUUUCUUCCGUCAGUCCUCGACGACGAUUAAACACGGAGCUCGACUUGCUGAUGUUCUUCCCUCCCAAGAUCGCCCAUCGUGAGCAGCCUCGCUCUUUCCCGAUGCAACCAGACUGAAUGCUGAGCGAGGAGGCACGGGCGUCGCCCGAACCGCAAUGGAUGGACUCGCUCGAGUUACGCCGGCGUGCCUUGCAGCUGUCGCUGCCCCUCUAGGAGAUCGACGCCAGCGCUGUCGCUGCCCCUCUAGGAGAUCGACGCCAGCGCGGCGACCUACGACUUGGCCUGGAGCCCCUGUGCCUACCUGCUCACCAUGGCUGCCGCAAGGAGCUCCUGCGCUAGAUCCAACACCGCGCAGGCUGCCCCCAAGCUUCCAAGUUCCAACCACCGUCUCGACGAACCGCGGCGUGGUGCUCGUCCCCUUAGGUCCCGCCCCCCUCCCCUGCUUGCUCCCUCCCUUCCACCUUCCACGUCUUUCUUCUGUUCUUUGUGCUCCCCAUUGGUGUGUGCUAGACCAGCCCUGGCCGGUCCUUGUGUGCGCACUGUGUGACGGACCGCAGCGUUCAUCCCCUUAGGUUCUUCUCCCCCUGCCCGCUCCCUCCCUUCCAUCUUUCUUCUUCUGUUUUUUGUGCUCCCCAUUGGUGCGUGCUCGCUGGUCUAUGGCCAUGGCCGGUCCUUGUGUUCUCGCUGUGCUUCCGGCUCAUAGCGGUUCAGUAGACUUGCACAGGUUUCUUCAGAUUUCCAACGUGAAUGAAUUUAUUUUUAUGCCAAAUACCAGCUAGAUUAGGCUAUGAGGAUGGGCCAACUCAUGUAAUAACAUAAUGGAAAAUCCAGAUCUGUUGUCAUGGUUAUAUCAUGCGAAUUGUCACGGCUUUCUAUCAUGGCAAUUCACCAAUCCUAUUUCUUUUUUGUUGCGCCGCACUGUGAGGCAUCUCGCAUUUUAUAUCAGUAUGCAAGUUAGUCUAGUUGGUAAAUUCACAUUAGGUGUGUAGAUAGCGCAGACAAACUACAAUGGCAAAUUCACAUUAGGCAUGUAUAUGGUUUUUAGUUGGCAAAUUCACAAUUUGUAAACUGCCAUGGCACUUUUUUAUACUCCAUUACUAUUACAAGGCCACUUCAUUUUUAUGUCUAAUUUUGACCAUUAAUUUUACCAACAAAAUUUGAGUUAUAUGCCAUAAUAAGCAUGCCAUUAGAUGCACAUUUGAAAGAACUUUUUAUGAUAUAUUUUUUGUGACAAACGACCCAUAUAUUUUAUUUUUUUGCGAAUGAACCCAUAUUUUCUUGACCAAAAUUGUGAGUCAAAGUUUGACAUGAAAAAUGAAGUGGCCUUGUAUAUAAAAAUGGAGAGAGUAUAAUCUUGCAAUGUUACAUAGUUGCAAUUGGUGAAGGCACUUUCCACACCAAUUUUGACAAUCAGUAAACUACCAUGGCAAUUAGUCUUUCUUUUUGCAAUGACCCUUACAUAUUUUUGCCAUUUUAUAUAGUCAUUAAUUGUUGUUGUGGAUGCAAUUUUCGCCCUUCACAGUCCGUAAAAUUGCCGUGGGCCUUGUAUAUAAAAAUGGAGGGAUUAUAAUUUUUCCAUUUUACAUAGUUGCAAUUGGUGAAGGCACUUUCCACACCAGUUUUUACAAUUAUUAAACUGCCAUGGCAAUUACUUUCUUUCUGCAAUGACACCUUACAUAUUUGUGCCAUUUUUUAUGUUGUUGAUCGUUGUUGUGAAUGCAAUUUUCACCCUUCACAGUCCGUAAAAUUGCCAUGGGCAAUUUAGUACGAUCUUUUGGCAAGAGCCCAUGACACCUUAUAUAUUCUUUUUGCACGGGAUUUUUCAUAAAAUGUGUAUCCAACACAUGGCAAUUUUUUGAAAAUGUUUGCUUUUUAUCCUUCAUAUUUUCUUAGAAGAACAAAUGUUCUAUAUAACAUGGCAAGUUUGAAAUAUGUUUUUCAAAUGGCCACAAUCUAUUCUUUUUGUUAUUAUUUAAGAGAUGUCAUUUAUUAUUAUUAAGAGAUGGCUAGCAUUUUUUGUUUAUUAAGAGAUGGCAUUUUUUGUUUAUUUAGAGAUGAUGGCAUUUUUUGUUUAUUUAGAGAUGACUUUUAUUAUUUUUAAGAGAUGGCAUUUUUUAUUUAUUAAGAGAUAGCAUUUUUGUUUAUUAAGAGGUGGAAUUUUUUAUUUAUUAAGAGAUGGCAUUUUUGUUUAUUAAGAGAUGACAUUUUAUAUUAAGGUAUGGAAUUUUUAUUAUUAAGAGAAGUCAUUUUUUUACUAAUAGAUUACAUUUUUAUUAUUAAGAGAUGGCAUUUUUUACCAUGGCAUUUUUCUUAUUCUUUGUUACAUGGCAACUCAAAUUAUAGGGCCAUGACAAGUUUAAAACAUUUUUUGAAUAUCCAUGGUGAAUUUAUGAUAUUAUAGGACGGCAUAUUUUAGAAGUCCAGAGCAUGGAUUUUUUUGAAAAUGUCUGUUUUUUAUCCUUCACAUUUUCUUAUAAGAUCAAAUGUUCUAUAUAACGUGGAAAGUUUGAAAUAUGUUUUUCAAAUGGUCAUAAUCUGUUUCUUUCUGGUUUUGCCAUGGCACAUUCAAAACAUUAUGUUUCCCAUGGCAAAUAUCAUGGCAACUUUAUGUUGGCAUUUUUCUUACGGACAAAUGGGGUGGCAACUUUUUCUAGGUGUUACAAAAUGGUUUCAUGGCAUGUGUAUUUUUCCAUACAUGGCAAAUUUGUCAUGUUUUGUAUGGUAUUUUUAUAAAAGUUUUGCCAUGCAUGGCUGGGAUUUUUUUGCCCAACUGGGGUUCGAUCUCACAACCUCUUUUAGAGGCAAGUUCUGUUCUGGAGGGGCAGGGGGUUUAUCGGUGCGAACGAUUUCGUUCGCUGCAGCCUCCCCCCACGCUAGCUGGUUAUUGUUGCUGUAAAAAAAAAGGAGCUGGUUCUUGUUAGCGUAUUGUAUUUUAUGUGUACAUUGUACCUGUGUAUGUGUAUCCUCCUGGUAUAUAGGAUCGUGAGUAGUGCCCGGGCCUGCGUGCCACUUCCUUCGGGUUUCUUUCAGAGGCACUGGGCUUUACUGAAAGAUGAUAUUGUUCUGGCCAUUUUGGAUUUUUUUAAUGGGGGUAUUUUGCCCGAGGGGUUGAAUGACACGUCCAUCACCUUGAUCCCAAAGGUACGACACCCACAUCGAAUCACUCAGUAUAGACCCAUAUCCUUAUGUUCUGUCUUAUACAAGAUUGCCUCAAAAUGCAUCACCAAUAGAAUGAGGGUUUUUAUGGGGGAGAUAAUCAGUGAAGAACAAAGCGCGUUUGUCCCUGGGCGCCUAAUAACUGAUAAUGUGCUCAUUGCGUAUGAAAGUGUUCAUGCAAUGAAACGACGGAAGAGAGGGAAGAAUUGUGUUUGUGCAAUGAAACUUGACAUGAUGAAGGCAUAUGACCGAGUAGAAUGGCAUUAUCUGGAAGCCAUCAUGCUGCGUUUGGGUUUCAGCGCACAGUUUGUCAGACUGAUAAUGAAGUGUGUCACGUCGGUUAGAUUUACUGUUCCUGUGAACAGGGAGUUGCUGCCAUUUUUUACACCCUCAAGAGGGUUUCGUCAAGGGGACCCUGUCUCACCGUAUUUGUUCCUCCUAUGUGCAGAAGGUUUCACUUCCUUGCUGAAGUUUUAUGGAGGAGUCAAUAUCGACAGAGGUAUUCGCGUAAGCUAUCAAUCGCCUUGGAUAAAUCAUCUUCUGUUCACGGAUGAUAGUCUUAUUCUCAUGAAUGCACAGGUAGCUAGUGCACUCAGGUUGAAUGAGGUGCUACAGAUUUACAGUGACUGCUCCGGUCAGUGUGUUAAUAGGGACAAGAGCUCGGUCUAUUUCAGUCCUAACACAACCGAACCAGUGCGCUGUUUGUUGAAGGCAGUUCUGAACAUCUCAGUUGAAGCGUUCAGUGAACGAUAUCUGGGACUCCCAACUGCUGUUGGCCGUAUCACUAGUGGAACUUUCGAAUUUCUCAGAGAAAGGAUGAGAAGCAAACUACAAGUAGGAGUGGAAUGUCUCAUUUCUUGUGCUGGCAGGGAGGUCAAGCUGAAAGCUGUGGCCCAAGCAAUACCCACACACUCCAUGAGUUGCUUCAGACUCACUAAGAAGGUCUGCAAAGGCCUUUCUUCUGUCAUGGCUAGAUAUUGGUGGAGUAGCUCAAUCGAUCGCAGAUCGCUCCAUUGGAUUGAUUGGCCUUCACUUGCUGAACCCAAGGUUGCUGGAGGGAUGGGGUUUCGUAACCUAGAAUUGUUCAACUUAGCCCUGCUCGGAAAGCAUGGGUGGAAUUUGAUUAUCAACCCGGACUCUCUCUGUGCUCGUGUACUGAAGGGAAAAUAUUUCCCGCAAAGUGACUUCAUGGCCGCAACUGUCCCAAAGUGUGCCUCGGCCACAUGGCGUGCAAUUUGUGCGGGCAAACAAGCUUUGGGAGCUGGCCUAGUGAAACGAAUUGGUGAUGGCACAUCGGUGUCCAUUUGUUAUGAUAGCUGGGUGCCGGGCCUACUCUCCUUACGGCCAACUACUCACAUUGGUGACACAAAUAUUACUGCUGUGUCUGAGUUGAUCGAUGGAGACCGAGGUUUAUGGAAGGUUGAGCUGGUGAGGCACCAUUUUAUCACCCCCAAAGCUGAUGCAAUCCUCAAUAUCCCGUUAAGGGCGAAUGGGGGCGAGGAUUAUUGGGCAUGGACUGCAGAAAAGUCGGGUAUCUACACUAUGAAAUCAGCGUACCGUUCUCUCAUGACCUUGAAUGAGCACUCUGCUCAAAGGGAAGGGACGGCCACGGAAACCUCAGAGCAACAAAAAUAGUUGUGGACAAGACUUUGGAAGCUAAAAGUUGUGCCAAAAGUCAGAGUGUUUUGGUGGCGAGUGCUUAGGGGAAUUCUUCCCACUGAGGGCGCUUUGAAACAUCAACACACCGCUGUCUUGGCACGUUGCAAAGUCUGCCUAGAUGCAGACGAGGAUAUAUAUCACGCAUUGAUUAAAUGCACUCAUGCUAAGCUCUUCUGGAAGGAGGCGAGGGAAAUUUUAUCUGUCAAACUACCGGAGCUCCAUACAGAAACUUGGUCAAGGGACAUUUUAUGUGACCCUAGAUUCAAUGAGGCAGAUCAAGCAAAAGUUAUUACUGUCAUGUGGGCAAUUUGGACAUCCAGGAACAAUAUUACACAUGAUAGGGCUAGCUUGGAUCCAGUUCACUCCAUGAAGAUGACAAGAGAGGCCUUGUCGCUGCUAGAACUACCCCAACAACAUGCAAUGAUCUUACCGGGCCAUGGUUGGCGACCACCUGAUGCAGAUUGUAUAAAUGCUGGGAUUUCCAUGGAGGCAAGGAAGUGCGGGCUGGGAGGUGUUGCCAGAUCUGCUACUACAUUCUUGAGUGCCUGGUGCAAACCUAUCCAGGGCACUACGAAUCCACUUGUCGCGGAGGCCUUGCUCUCCAUGAAGGUGUGGUUUUUGCUCAACUUCAUGGCUUUGUGCGGGUGGAGAUGGAGACCGACAGCAUGGAGGUCGUCGAUCUUUGGAACUCGCGCCGUUCUUCGCGCUCGCUGAUAGCGCCUGUGUUACUUGAUAUUGAGGGUUUAGCUGCCUCUUUUUCCUUUUUUACUAUUCGUCAUGUAAAGAGACAUGCCAAUAUCCCCGCCCACCUGUGUGCAUAACAUGCCUGCACAAGGGAGGUAACGGAGUGUUGGAUGAACAAUCCUCCUGGCUUACUAAUCACCAGUCUAAUGGCUGACAGUGCAGGAGCAAUCUAUCUGGAAUAAAACCCUCAUUAUCCCACAAAAAAAACACUUCCUUCGUGUGUUCAGUUGUACCUCUCAUGUAUAUGUUAUAACGGUGGCUGAGUAAUGAAUACACAGAGCAUUCUAUCCUCUAGCUUGGUAUCUGUUUCUCAGGUCGCAUCCAUGGCCACCAAUUCCUCUUCCUCCUCCUCGGCCACCAGCCCUGCCACCUCGCCGGCCUCUCUGUCCGGCACCAGCACUGCCGCACCCACCACUGCUGGCACCUCACCAUCUCUUGGCGGCACCACCACUCCUCUGCCUUUCAGUUUGCUACCCUUUUCUCCUCCGCCAGAUCGCCGCUCCCAUCGGCCGCCCCUUCUCGUCACCCAAUCUUCGUCAACAACAUCCAAAACCACAUUAAGUUUCUUCUGAACCCCGACGACUACCACAAGUGAAAGUCCUUCCUCAUGGUUCUGAUUCGCUAUGGCGUCACCCACUUCAUCGAGCACCAUCCUCCUCCCAACGCUGAUGCUGCCUACCGUGAGCUUGAUGCCCACCUCGUCCUUUGGAUCUACGCGACUCUCGCUGAUCCUCUCGUCGACCUCGUCGUCGGCGCCACCUCUGUCUAUGAUCUCUGGAUGCGUAUCCACGACUAUUUCCUCGCCAAUCACGCUGCCCGGUACAUGAUGCUCAACCGACAGUAUCACAAUCUCAAGCAGGGCAACCUCUCCGUCGCCGAGUAUGCCCGCCGCAUGAAGUUACUCACUGCCGGCCUUGCGGACAUCGACCACGCUUUCACAGAGGUGGAUCUCACCACCCAGUUCCUCCACGGCAUCGACAAACGUCUCGAUACCAUCCGCGUCGUCUUGGGGGACACAGUUCCCCUUCCGCCCUUCGAGACGUUCUUCUCCCGCCCUUACAAGUGUUGUUAUUGCUCUAUAGUUACCCACAUUUAUAUUCUGUCUAUUCUGCUUUGUCUUGAACAAAUAUUAUUUGAACUGUGUCUCUAUCUUGAUUUGGCAACAAAAACUAGAAUGAUAUAGACCAUAAAGUGACCAUGAUACAUAGAUAUAUGUUUGUUUCAUGCUGUUAUCCUGUCCACUUUACUACUGAACUCAUUUACCAAAAUGAGUUUCAUAUACAACAUGGUAAACAUGUGAUGUGUCUGCUUGUUUCUCUUUUAGAAUGUGGACAAAAUAUUGGAGAACAGUACCGCGUUAUCCAAUGGUAAAGGAAGUAAUGCAGAUAAGGUUCAAGAUAGUGAGACAUCCCUGUUGGUCUCCAAGAAAGCUGAUAAAAACUAUCUUGACGACAGUGAGGGAACCCAAAAGUCCUGUCUUGAUGUAGUGUUCGUGUUAUUGGCCACUACUGCUGGCACAAGCUCUUCGAACUUGCUGCCUGAAUCAGUUCGUCUUCUUGAGUCUUAACUUCAAGUUGAAAUACAUCGAUCAGAUGUGCUGCGACAGGAAGCUGAAGGACUGAGGAAGUCCCUGCAGAAUUCAGAUGCAUAUUUUCUGGUGCAACAGCAAGCGCUGGAGGAUUUAAGUGCCAAACAAGAGAAAGUUAAUAAGCUUGCUAAGCAUCUUGCCAGCAUUAUGGGUACCCAAGAUAUUGUUUCUUGAGAUCUUCUGAAGUGGUUUCAGUUCUGGAUUUGUUUUGCUGUGGCGUUUAUUUGCGCUGGUCGCCAACUUUGACAACCAGUGUAUAUGAUAUGUUGCUUUGUUCCCUAUAUUUGCACUGGUGGCGAACUUUGAUGCCCAGUGGAUGUAAUAUGUGUAACAACCGUGAUAGCCUAGCAAAAGUUGCUUGCUUAUUUAUUUCCUUGUUGUCUUGUUUAUUUGUUUGCUUGUAGUCAGUGCAGUUCUUUUUAAAACUAGGCCACAAUAACCAUGGGCUAAUAUUUACUGUAGUGACACUGGGCCUCCUACGAGCUGUAGAAAUAGUGGGCCUUCUACGGGCCAUAGAAACAGUAGGCCUUCUACAGGCCGUAGAAACAAUGGGCCUUCUACGGACCGUAGAAACAUUGGGCCUUCUACGGGCCGUAGAAAAAAUGGGCCUUCUACGGGCCGUAUCAUCAAUGGGCCUUCUACGGGCCGUAUCAUCAAUGGGCCUUAUACGGGUCGUGUGACCAUAACGGGCCAUGUUAAUAGGCCGUAUUUGAUGACGCUAUGAAAACGGCACAGCGUAUUAACGGACCACAAACGGGCCGAUGUAACCACGGGCUGAAUUUGGCCCACAAGCAGAAAAUGACAGUAACGGGCCGUAAGUAAACGAAUGCUGGAAAUGAGCUCAAGAAUAAAUGGGCUCUAAGAAGGUUGAAAGAUAACAUUUGCUGGAAACGACCCAAUUGAAUAACGGGCCCUUAAUGGGUAUAAAGUGAUAUACUGUUCAUUACGGGCCAGUUUCACCAUGGGUCGUUAAUGGGUGUAAAGUGAUACACUGUUCAUUGCGGGCCAGUUUCACCAUGGGCUGUUAAUAGGCCAAGAGUUACAUAGGGCCUCAUAUGGGCCGAAAGACGUCAUGGGCCAUACAUGGGCCAGAAGUGAAAACGGGUUGGAAUCAUAUUGGAUGGCCCAGAUGAUGCUACUGGGCUUAAUUCCGAUAGGGCAUAACGGGCCUUAGGUUAGCGGGCUGUAAAUGGGCUAUAUGCGAACAUGCCGUUAACAUGCUUUCCAUGGGCCGGCCCACCACCUUUUGACCAAGUCAAAAGGGUCGGCCUUUUCACAGGAAUGGGCCUCUGUUGGGCACGUGUCGAUGUAUCAUAGGCACCUUCUGUCCAAUGAGUGGAUGACAUCUGUCCCAACGGUGAGCCGACACGUGUUUCCUCCAUCCAAUGAUGAUUUUACACGUGGAAAAUCCCCAUUGGUCGGGGCUGAUAACGGGUUAUCGGAUCCAAAACCCGACCCGAUAGCUUAACGGCAUUCCGUUACGGUGGAUGCCACGUGUCGGUCACCCUUGACGAAAGUACUUCUGUGACGCACGAUUUAUCAUCAUGGAAGUGGACACUUCUGUGAUGAUAAUUUUGGUAAUGUCAUGGAACACUUCUACGACAGCACAGGUAUGACUAUCUUGAUUCUGUCAUAAAUUUGUCAUGGAUAUACAUGCAUGACAAAAAACGCGACCUACUGUGACAAACACGUAUCAUCACGGAAGUGUAUUUUUUUUUGUAGUGAAGCCCUCAAACCAUCUCCACUUUAGCAGCAAAUAAAUUUCUUCCUGCAUGUAAUAACAAAAUGCACACUCCAUGUAAUGCUUGUCAGCUUGGCCGACAACCGCGUCUCCCUUUCCCUUCCUCUAGUAGCCGCACAUAUGCUCCCUUUGACUUAUUCAUUGUGACUUGUGGAUGUCACCAGUUGUAAGCUUUUCCGGCUAUCAAUACUAUUUAGUUGUGCUUGAUGAUUAUACUCAUUUUUCCUGGACCUUUCCCUUGCGCAACAAAUCUGACACCUCCACCAACUUACAAUGCUUCUUCACCUUUGUGCGUAUGCAAUACAAUGUCAUUAUCAAAGCCUUGCAAUUUGAUAACGGCAGCGAGUUCAUCAACACCUACUUGCGCACCUUUCUCUCUGCCAACAGCAUCGCUUAUCGGUUUUCAUGCCCCCACACUUCUCCCCAAAAUGGCAAGGCUGAGUGCCUCAUACGUACCACCAAUGACAUCAUAUGCACUCUUAUCCAAGCUCACUUACCCCCACCCUUCUGGGUUGAGGCGCUGCACACCGCCACACACUUGCUCAACAUACGUCCCCCUAGCAUAUUGAGAUUGAUCUCCAUUUCGUCCAUGAUCGUGUGGCUCUUGGUGAAGUUCGUGUCCUGCAUGUACCGUCCAGUUCUCAGUUUGCGGAUGUCUUCACCAAGGGCCUUCCUACACAUGUGUUCACUGAGUUUCGCGCCAGCCUAAAUAUCCUUCCACACGGAGUUCCGGCUGAGGGGGGGGGGGGUGUUGGGGAACGUAGUAAUUUCAAAAAAAUUCCUACGCACACGCAAGAUCAUGGUGAUGCAUAGCAACGAGAGGGGAGAGUGUGUCCACGUACCCUCGUAGACCAAAAGCGGAAGCGUUAGCACUACGCGGUAGAUGUAGUCGUACGUCCUCAUGGCUCGAUCGAUCAAGCACCGAAAGCACGGCACCUCUGAGUUCUUGCACACGUUCAGCUCGAUGACGUUCCUCGAACUCCAAUCCAGCUGAGUGUCAAGGGAGAGUUCCGUCAGCACGACGGCAUGGUGAUGAUGAUGAUGUUCUACCGACGCAGGGCUUCGCCUAAGCACCGCUACGAUAUUAUCAAGGUGGAAUAUGGUGGAGGGGGCACCGCACAUGGCUAAUAGAUCUCAAGGAUCAAUUGUUGUUGUCUUUAGAGGUGCCCCCUGCCCCCAUAUAUAAAGGAGCAAGGGGGAGGGGGCGGCCGGCCAGGAGGGGGCGUGCCAGGAGGAGUCCUACUCCCACCGGGAGUAGGACUCCCUCCUUUCCUUGUCCAAGUAGGAGAGGGGGAAGGAAGGGAGAGAGGGGAGGAAGGAAGGGGGGGGGGGUGCCGCCCCUCCUCCUUGUCCUAUUCGGACUAGAGGGGGAGGGGGGCGCGACCUGCCCUGGCCGCCCCUCCUCUUCUCCACUUUGGGCCCAUGAGGCCCAUUAACCCCCCCGGGGGUUCCGGUAACCCCCUGGUACUCCGGUAUAUAUCUGAUAACCCCCGGAACCAUUCCGGUGUCCGAAUAUAGUCGUCCAAUAUAUCAAUCUUGAUGUCUCGACCAUUUCGAGACUCCUCGUCAUGUCCGUGAUCACAUUCGGGACUCUGAACUAUCUUCGGUACAUCAAAAUACAUGAACUCAUAAUAUAACUGUCAUCUAACUUUAAGUGUGCGAACCCUACGGGUUCGAGAACUAUGUAGACAUGAUCGAGACACAUUUCCGGUCAAUAACCAAUAGCGAAACCUGGAUGCUCAUAUUGGCUCCUACAUAUUCUACGAAGAUCUUUAUCGGUCAAACCGCAUAACAACAUAUGUUGUUCCCUUUGUCAUCAGUAUGUUACUUGCCCGAGAUUCGAUCGUCGGUAUCUCAAUACCUAGUUCAAUCUCGUUACCGGCAAGUCUCUUUACUCGUUAUGUAAGGCAUCAUUCCAUAACUAACUCAUUAGCUACAUUGCUUGCAAGGCUUAAAGUGAUGUGCAUUACCGAGAGGGCCCAGAAAUACCUCUCUGACAAUCGGAGUGACAAAACCUAAUCUCGAAAUACGCCAACUCAACAUGUACCUUUGGAGACACCUGUAGAGCUCCUUUAUAAUCACCCAGGUACGUUGUGACGUUUGGUAGCACACAAAGUGUUCCUCCGGUAAACGGGAGUUGCAUAAUCUCAUAGUUGUAGGAACAUGUAUAAGUCAUUAAGAAAGCAAUAACAACAUACUAAACCAUCAAGUGCUAAGCUAACGGAAUGGGUCAAGUCAAUCACAUCAUUCUCCUAAUGAUGUGAUCCCGUUAAUCAAAUGACAACUCAUGUCUAUGGUUAGGAAACACAACCAUCUUUGAUUAACGAGCUAGUGAAGUAGAGGCAUACUAGUGACAUUAUGUUUGUCUAUGUGUUCACACAUGUAUUAUGUUUCUGGUUAAUACAAUUCUAGCAUGAAUAAUAAACAUUUAUCAUGAUAUAAGGAAAUAAAUAAUAACUUUAUUAUUGCCUCUAGGGCAUAUUUCCUCCAGUCUCCCACUUGCACUAGAGUCAAUAAUCUAGAUUACACAGUAAUGAUUCUAACACCCAUGGAGCCUUGGUGCUGACCAUGUUUUGCUCGUGGAAGAGGCUUAGUCAACGGGUCUGCAACAUUUAGAUCUGUAUGUAUUUUGCAAAUCUCUAUGUCUCCCACCUGGACUUGGUCCCGGAUGGAAUUGAAGCACCUCUUGAUGUGCUUGUUCCUCUUGUGAAAUCUGGAUUCCUUUGCCAAGGCAAUUGCACCAGUAUUGUCACGGAAGAUCUUCAUUGGUCCUGAUGCACUAGGUAUGACACCUAGAUCGGAUAUGAACUCCUUCAUCCAGACUCCUUCAUUUGCUGCUUCUGAAGCAGCUAUGUACUUCGCUUCACAUGUAGAUCCCGCCACGACGCUUUGUUUAGAACUACACCAACUGACAGCUCCACUGUUCAAUAUAAACACGUAUCCGGUUUGCGAUUUAGAAUCAUCCGGAUCAGUGUCAAAGCUUGCAUCGACGUAACCAUUUGCCACUAGCUCUUUGUCACCUCCAUAAACGAGAAACAUAUCCUUAGUCAUUUUCAGGUAUUUCAGGAUAUUCUUGACCGCUGUCGAGUGAUCCACUCCUGGAUUACUUUGGUACCUCCCUGCUAAACUUAUUGUUAAGCAUACAUCAGGUCUGAUACACAGCAUUGCAUACAUGAUAGAGCCUAUGGCUGAAGCAUAGGGAACAUCUUUCAUUUUCUCUCUAUCUUCUGCUGUGGUCGGGCAUUGAGUCUGACUCAACUUCACACCUUGUAAUACAGGAAAGAACCCUUUCUUUGAUUGAUCCAUUUUGAACUUUUUCAACACUUUAUCAAGGUAUGUGCUUUGUGAAAGUCCAAUCAAGCGUCUUGAUCUAUCUCUAUAGAUCUUGAUGCCUAAUAUGUAAGCCGCUUCACCGAGGUCUUUCAUUGAAAAACUUUUAUUCAAGUAUCCUUUUAUGCUAUCCAGAAAUUCUAUAUCAUUUCCAAUUAACAAUAUGACAUCUACAUAUAAUAUCAGAAAUGCUACAGAGCUCCCACUCACUUUCUUGUAAAUACAGGCUUCUCCAAAAGUCUAUAUAAAACCAUAUGCUUUGAUCAAACUAUCAAAGCAUUUAUUCCAACUCCGAGAGGCUUGCACCAGUCCAUAAAUGGAUCGUUGGAGCUUGCACACUUUGUUAGCACCUUUUGGAUUGAUAAAACCUUCAGGUUGUAUCAUAUACAACUCUUCUUCUAGAAAUCCAUUCAGGAAUGCAGUUUUGACAUCCAUUUGCCCUAUUUCAUAACCAUAAAAUGCGGAAAUUGCUAACAUGAUUCGGACAGACUUAAGCAUCGCUACGGGUGAGAAAGUCUCAUCGUAGUCAACCCCUUGAACUUGUCGAAAACCUUUCACAACAAUUCAAGCUUUGUAGACAGUAUUAUUACCAUCAGCGUCAGUCUUCUUCUUGAAGAUCCAUUUAUUCUCGAUGGCUUGCUGAUCAUCGGGCAAGUCAAUCAAAGUCCAUACUUUGUUCUCAUACAAGGAUCCCAUCUCAGAUUUCAUGGCCUCAAGCCAUUUUGCGGAAUCUGGGCUCAUCAUCGCUUCCUCAUAGUUCGUAGGUUCGCCAUGGUCAAGUAACAUGACCUCCAGAAUAGGAUUACCGUACAACUCUGGUGCGGAUCUUACUCUGGUUGACCUAUGAGGUUCGGUAGUAACUUGAUCUGAAGUUUCAUGAUCAAUAUCAUUAGCUUCCUCACUAACUGGUGUAGUUGUCAUAGGAACCGGUUUCUGUGAUGAACUGCUUUCCAAUAAGGGAGCAGGUACAGUUACCUCAUCAAGUUCUACUUUCCUCCCACUCACUUCUUUCGAGAGAAAUUCUUUCUCUAGAAAGGAUCCGAAUUUAGCAACAUAAGUCUUGCCUUCAGAUCUGUGAUAGAAAGUGUACCCAAUAGUCUCCUUUGGGUAUCCUAUGAAGACACAUUUAUCUGAUUUGGGUUCGAGCUUAUCUGGUUGAAGUUUCUUCACAUAAGCACCGCAGCCCCAAACUUUAAGAAACGAUAACUUUGGUUUCUUGCCAAACCACAGUUCAUAAGGCGUCGUCUCAACGGAUUUUGAUGGUGCCCUAUUUAACAUGAAUGCGGCCGUCUCUAAAGCAUAACCCCAAAACGAUAGCGUUAAAUCAGUAAGAGACAUCAUAGAUCGCACCAUAUCUAGUAAAGUACGAUUACGACGUUCGGACACUCCAUUACGUUGUGGUGUUCCGGGUGGCGUGACUUGUGAAACUAUUCUGCAUUGUUUCAAAUGUAAACCAAACUCGUAACUCAAAUAUUCUCCUCCAUGAUCAGAUCGUAGAAACUUUAUUUUCUUGUUACAAUGAUUUUUCACUUCAUUCUGAAAUUCUUUGAACUUUUCAAAUGUUUCAGACUUAUGUUUCAUUAAGUAGAUAUACCCAUAUCUGCUUAAAUCAUCUGUGAAGGUGAGAAAAUAACGAUACCCGUUGCGAGCCUCAAUGUUCAUUGGACCACAUACAUCAGUAUGUAUGAUUUCCAACAAAUCUGUUGCUCGCUCCAUAGUUCUGGAGAAUGGCAUUUUAGUCAUCUUGCCCAUGAGGCAUGGUUCGCAAGUACCAAGUGAUUCAUAAUCAAGUGAUUCCAGAAGUCCAUCAGUAUGGAGUUUCUUCAUGCGCUUUACACCAAUAUGACCCAAACGGCAGUGCCACAAAUAAGUUGCAUUAUCAUUAUCAACUCUGCAUCUUUUGGUUUCAACAUUAUGAAUAUGUGCAUCACUACUAUCGAGAUUUAGUAAAAAUAGACCACUCUUCAAGGGUGCAUGACCAUAAAAGAUAUUACUCAUAUAAAUAGAAGAACCAUUAUUCUCUGAUUUAAAUGAAUAAUCGUCUCGCAUCAAACAAGAUCUAGAUAUAAUGUUCAUGCUUAACGCUGGCACCAAAUAACAAUUAUUUAUGUCUAAAACUAAUCCCGAAGGUAGAUGUAGAGGUAGCGUGCCGACCACGAUCACAUCAACUUUGGAACAUUUCCCACGCACAUCGUCACCUCGUCCUUAGCCAAUCUUCGCUUAAUCCGUAGUCCCUGUUUCGAGUUGCAAAUAUUAGCAACAGAACCAGUAUCAAAUACCCAGGUGCUACUGCGAGCAUUAGUAAGGUACACAUCAAUAACAUGUAUAUCACAUAUACCUUUGUUCACCUUGCCAUCCUUCUUAUCUGCCAAAUACUUGGGGCAGUUCCGCUUCCAGUGACCAGUCUGUUUGCAGUAUAAGCACUCAUUCUCAGGCUUAGGUCUAGAUUUGGGUUUCUUCUCUUGAGCAGCAACUUGUUUGCCGUUCUUCUUGAAGUUCCCCUUCUUCUCACCUUUACCCUUUUUUCUUGAAACUGGUGGUCUUAUUGACCAUCAACACUUGAUACUCCUUUUUGAUUUCUACCUCCGCAGCUUUUAGCAUCACGAAGAGCUCGGGAAUAGUCUUGUCCAUCCCUUGCAUAUUAUAGUUCAUCACGAAGCUCUUGUAGCUGUGGCAGUGAUUGAAGAAUUCUGUCAAUGACACUAUCAUCAGGAAGAUUAACUCCCAGUUGAAUCAAGUGAUUAUUAUACCCAGACAUUUUGAGUAUAUGUUCACUGAUAGAACUAUUCUCUUCCAUCUUGCAGCUAUAGAACUUAUUGGAGACUUCACAUCUCUUAAUCCGGGCAUUUUCUUGAAAUAUUAACUUCAACUCCUGGAACAUCUCAUAUGCUCCAUGACGUUCAAAACGUCGUUGAAGUCCCGGUUCUAAGCCGUAAAGCAUGGCACGCUGAACUAUCGAGUAGUCAUCAUCUUUGCUCUGCCAGACGUUCUUAAUGUCGUCAGUUGCAUCUGUAGCAGGCCUGGCACCCAGCGGUGCUUCCAGGACGUAAUUCUUCUGUGCAGCAAUGAGGAUAAUCCUCAAGUUACAGACCCAGUCUGUGUAAUUGCUACCAUCAUAUUUCAACAUAGCUUUCUCAAGGAACGCAUUAAAAUUCAACGGAACAACAACACGAGCCAUCUAUCUACAACAAACAUAGACAAGCAAAAUACUAUCAGGUACUAAGUUCAUGAUAAAUUUAAGUUCAAUUAAUCAUAUUACUUAAGAACUCCCACUUAGAUAGACAUCCUCUAAUCAUCUAAGUGAUCACGUGAUCCAAAUCAACUAAACCAUGUCCGAUCAUCAUGUGAGAUGGAGUAGUUUUCAAUGGUGAACAUCACUAUGUUGAUCAUAUCUACUAUAUGAUUCAUGCUCGACCUUUCGGUCUCAGUGUUCCGAGGCCAUAUCUGUAUAUGCUAGGCUCGUCAAGUUUAACCUGAGUAUUCCGCGUGUGCAACUGUUUUGCACCCGUUGUAUUUGAACGUAUGAUGUGACCAUCUAUGCCAAGACUACUGUCACUCGUCCAAGAAAUAUUAAAGUUACACCGAUGCAUGAGAAGUUGACCGUGACAGUUCCAAAAGGGAAAGAAGCUGGUAUUUUAGAAGCUUUUUCAUAUAUACAGAUUGGUUCUAUGAUACUUCAGAUUUCUCCACCGCAAGAUGAAGUUAAACCAAAUUUUAGGACUCCACCGAAGAAGCUGUGAUCCGAUCGGCACAAAAAAUACUAGUUUUGUUAGCUUGGUAUUAUAGUAGAGUCCAAAGGUUGCACAAGUACUAGUUACGUAUACGUUUUAAGUCUAGGUUAGUUGGAAGGUGAUCAGCGUUGCCGGAGUAUUAAUUAGUCAAAUCUUAUUUUGUUUGGAUAGGAGAGUCCGUUUCAGCUUCGCUUACAUGGAGUCGGUUGAGAAGUGCCUGCGCGCACGUUAUAAAAGCAGGGAUACGCCAUGUAAAGAAGGUCAAGUUUUGUUUCAUCGUGAGUUCAAUAAUAGUCAGAAAACGUCCUAUGUCGAGGGACAACAAAUAUUGUCUUCGUUGCUGAUCCAUUUUGUUGCUGCUGCGCGUGGAGCCGAUCUAAUCUACUCAACGCUAGUUUCUUUUGAUCUUACGGUCUUGCAUAUUUGCUCGAUCAGAAUUUCUUGUGCUAUUGCCAGUAUCGUGAAAGAUCGGGCCAACGAACGACUCGCCAUCUAGUUGAGUCUUCAUCAAGUGGUAUUCAGAGCUAAGGUUGUUCACGGUACUGUGUUGAUUAAGAUGUCAACCUCGGCUGACAAGGGUGACGAGGUUGCUACUGAUUCUGAGGAAAUAGUGCGUCCAGUGUAUGCGGAUGAUAUUCCUCAAAAUAUUCGGGAUGGUUUUGACCACACAUGCAACUACAUCAAGCAAUGUCAUGACGCGCUCGGCAAAAGGAUAGAUGUCCUGAUCACUCGGUUCGAUGGUUUGGCAGACAUCAUCAAUAUGCCGGCAGCGACUUCUGCACCACCACAGACUGCUCCGGCUGCUCCACUGUAUUAUGCACCACCAGCUCGCGACGGAUAUGCUGGCGUGCAUGAUCGCCGUCUGGCAGCACACCCUCAUGCUGGAGAUGAUGGUUUCGGUGAUGGCAUUGACCGCGCGGGGUACGCGCCACGACCACGACACUAUGAGCCUCGUCCCGAAACAUCCAUUCGUGGUGGAGUGCAUGACCGAGUUGGUCAAGCUGUGCGUGUGCCUUUGGAUGAUGGAAUUGGGCGCAUAAAAAUUUCAAUCCCUUCGUUCUCCGGCAAGUGUGAACCAGAAGGCUAUUUGGAGUGGGAGAUGCGUGUUGAUCAAAUUUUUGAUGCCCAUCAUUAUAGCAAGGAGAAGAAAGUUCAACUUGCUGGAAUUGAGUUUACCGGUUAGGCGCUAAUUUGGUGGAAUCAAAUUUGUUGUUCAAGACAUCGCCCGACGACUUGGCGAGGUAUGAAAGAAUUCAUGAGGCGCCGUUUUGUUCCUGAGCACUAUAAAAGAGAUAUGUACAACAAGUUGCAGCGGCUCUCUCAAGGUAAUUUGAGUGUUGAUGAAUAUUACAAGGAGAUGGAAUUGCUUAUGAUACGUGCAGGGACAACGGAGGAUCUGGAGGCGACCAUGACACAUUUCUUUAACGGGCUAAAUAUCGAGGUGCAGGAACGUGUUGAGAUGGUGGUCUACUACAACAUACAAGAUCUUGUGCAUCAAGCUGUGCGUGCGGAACAACAGAUUAAGCGGCGCCAAGUCAACACAGUUCCCAGUACCACUUUGAACACAUGGUGACGCUCCCAGCAUCAGAGUGAGGAUAUCGGUCCUAGCUCGAGGACGGCAACAUCAAAUCGCCCUCAUGGUUCCGUGCAAAAGAAUGCUUCAAAAUCAGGACCGUCGAGGGUUGAUUCUAGUGCACAGUCGACCAAUCGUUCCAGUGACAUAGAGUGUUUCAAGUGUGGAGAAAGGGGACAUAUGAAGCGUGAAUGUCCUAAUGAGAAGAGAGUAUUGCUCACAAAAGAUGGCUAUGCAUCCGCGAGUGAUGAAGAGGCAGUUUCUGACACUUCUAGUGAAAAAUUUGAAGAUGCUGAGAAGGUGACUACUAGUUUUGAAGCUGCUGAAUCAUAUCCGUCCUUAAUGGUGCAGCGUGUGCAAGAGGAUCGCAUUGAGAAUAAGGGGCAGCGUUGGAAUAUUUUUCAGACUCAGUGCAAGAUCAACAACACCAAUUGCAAGUUGAUCAUCGACGGUGGAAGCUACACUAAUGCAGUCAGCAAGGACUUGGUGGAUGCUUUUGCUUUACCAACCUGGAAGCACCCACAACCACACUGUGUCGAAUGGUUAUAUCAGUCGGGCAAACUGAAAGUUACUCACAAGGUGCGCAUCAAUUUUUUGGUUGGCAAUUAUAUCGAUACAGUUAUCUGUGAUGUUCUACCAAUGGAUGCAUGCCAUUUGUUGUUGGGGAGGCCAUGGCAAUAUGAUCAUCGAGCUACACAUGAUGGGAGGUCCAACACUUAUUCCUUUUGGGACUCUGGAAGGCGACGUAUGUUACAGCCGAUGUUCUCUAGUGCAAUCAAGAAUGAUGUCUGUAAGAUCCCUAAAGGUAUCUUGAAGCCAAGGAUGGCUUCAUUUCAAGAGGGGCAGGAUGAUGUGACCAUCUAUGCCAAGACUACUGUCACUCGUCCAAGAAAUAUUAAAGUUACACCGAUGCAUGAGAAGUUGACCGUGACAGUUCCAAAAGGGAAAGAAGCUGGUAUUUUAGAAGCUUUUUCAUAUAUACAGAUUGGUUCUAUGAUACUUCAGAUUUCUCCACCGCAAGAUGAAGUUAAACCAAAUUUUAGGACUCCACCGAAGAAGCUGUGAUCCGAUCGGCACAAAAAAUACUAGUUUUGUUAGCUUGGUAUUAUAGUAGAGUCCAAAGGUUGCACAAGUACUAGUUACGUAUACGUUUUAAGUCUAGGUUAGUUGGAAGGUGAUCAGCGUUGCCGGAGUAUUAAUUAGUCAAAUCUUAUUUUGUUUGGAUAGGAGAGUCCGUUUCAGCUUCGCUUACAUGGAGUCGGUUGAGAAGUGCCUGCGCGCACGUUAUAAAAGCAGGGAUACGCCAUGUAAAGAAGGUCAAGUUUUGUUUCAUCGUGAGUUCAAUAAUAGUCAGAAAACGUCCUAUGUCGAGGGACAACAAAUAUUGUCUUCGUUGCUGAUCCAUUUUGUUGCUGCUGCGCGUGGAGCCGAUCUAAUCUACUCAACGCUAGUUUCUUUUGAUCUUACGGUCUUGCAUAUUUGCUCGAUCAGAAUUUCUUGUGCUAUUGCCAGUAUCGUGAAAGAUCGGGCCAACGAACGACUCGCCAUCUAGUUGAGUCUUCAUCAAGUGGUAUUCAGAGCUAAGGUUGUUCACGGUACUGUGUUGAUUAAGAUGUCAACCUCGGCUGACAAGGGUGACGAGGUUGCUACUGAUUCUGAGGAAAUAGUGCGUCCAGUGUAUGCGGAUGAUAUUCCUCAAAAUAUUCGGGAUGGUUUUGACCACACAUGCAACUACAUCAAGCAAUGUCAUGACGCGCUCGGCAAAAGGAUAGAUGUCCUGAUCACUCGGUUCGAUGGUUUGGCAGACAUCAUCAAUAUGCCGGCAGCGACUUCUGCACCACCACAGACUGCUCCGGCUGCUCCACUGUAUUAUGCACCACCAGCUCGCGACGGAUAUGCUGGCGUGCAUGAUCGCCGUCUGGCAGCACACCCUCAUGCUGGAGAUGAUGGUUUCGGUGAUGGCAUUGACCGCGCGGGGUACGCGCCACGACCACGACACUAUGAGCCUCGUCCCGAAACAUCCAUUCGUGGUGGAGUGCAUGACCGAGUUGGUCAAGCUGUGCGUGUGCCUUUGGAUGAUGGAAUUGGGCGCAUAAAAAUUUCAAUCCCUUCGUUCUCCGGCAAGUGUGAACCAGAAGGCUAUUUGGAGUGGGAGAUGCGUGUUGAUCAAAUUUUUGAUGCCCAUCAUUAUAGCGAGGAGAAGAAAGUUCAACUUGCUGGAAUUGAGUUUACCGGUUAGGCGCUAAUUUGGUGGAAUCAAAUUUGUUGUUCAAGACAUCGCCCGACGACUUGGCGAGGUAUGAAAGAAUUCAUGAGGCGCCGUUUUGUUCCUGAGCACUAUAAAAGAGAUAUGUACAACAAGUUGCAGCGGCUCUCUCAAGGUAAUUUGAGUGUUGAUGAAUAUUACAAGGAGAUGGAAUUGCUUAUGAUACGUACAGGGACAACGGAGGAUCUGGAGGCGACCAUGACACAUUUCUUUAACGGGCUAAAUAUCGAGGUGCAGGAACGUGUUGAGAUGGUGGUCUACUACAACAUACAAGAUCUUGUGCAUCAAGCUGUGCGUGCGGAACAACAGAUUAAGCGGCGCCAAGUCAACACAGUUCCCAGUACCACUUUGAACACAUGGUGACGCUCCCAGCAUCAGAGUGAGGAUAUCGGUCCUAGCUCGAGGACGGCAACAUCAAAUCGCCCUCAUGGUUCCGUGCAAAAGAAUGCUUCAAAAUCAGGACCGUCGAGGGUUGAUUCUAGUGCACAGUCGACCAAUCGUUCCAGUGACAUAGAGUGUUUCAAGUGUGGAGAAAGGGGACAUAUGAAGCGUGAAUGUCCUAAUGAGAAGAGAGUAUUGCUCACAAAAGAUGGCUAUGCAUCCGCGAGUGAUGAAGAGGCAGUUUCUAACACUUCUAGUGAAAAAUUUGAAGAUGCUGAGAAGGUGACUACUAGUUUUGAAGCUGCUGAAUCAUAUCCGUCCUUAAUGGUGCAGCGUGUGCAAGAGGAUCGCAUUGAGAAUAAGGGGCAGCGUUGGAAUAUUUUUCAGACUCAGUGCAAGAUCAACAACACCAAUUGCAAGUUGAUCAUCGACGGUGGAAGCUACACUAAUGCAGUCAGCAAGGACUUGGUGGAUGCUUUUGCUUUACCAACCUGGAAGCACCCACAACCACACUGUGUCGAAUGGUUAUAUCAGUCGGGCAAACUGAAAGUUACUCACAAGGUGCGCAUCAAUUUUUUGGUUGGCAAUUAUAUCGAUACAGUUAUCUGUGAUGUUCUACCAAUGGAUGCAUGCCAUUUGUUGUUGGGGAGGCCAUGGCAAUAUGAUCAUCGAGCUACACAUGAUGGGAGGUCCAACACUUAUUCCUUUUGGGACUCUGGAAGGCGACGUAUGUUACAGCCGAUGUUCUCUAGUGCAAUCAAGAAUGAUGUCUGUAAGAUCCCUAAAGGUAUCUUGAAGCCAAGGAUGGCUUCAUUUCAAGAGGGGCAGGAUGAUGUGACCAUCUAUGCCAAGACUACUGUCACUCGUCCAAGAAAUAUUAAAGUUACACCGAUGCAUGAGAAGUUGACCGUGACAGUUCCAAAAGGGAAAGAAGCUGGUAUUUUAGAAGCUUUUUCAUAUAUACAGAUUGGUUCUAUGAUACUUCAGAUUUCUCCACCGCAAGAUGAAGUUAAACCAAAUUUUAGGACUCCAUCGAAGAAGCUGUGAUCCGAUCGGCACAAGAAAUACUAGUUUUGUUAGCUUGGUAUUAUAGUAGAGUCCAAAGGUUGCACAAGUACUAGUUACAUAUACGUUUUAAGUCUAGGUUAGUUGGAAGGUGAUCAGCAUUGCCGGAGUAUUAAUUAGUCAAAUCUUAUUUUGUUUGGAUAGGAGAGUCUGUUUCAGAUUCGCUUACAUGGAGUCGGUUGAGAAGUGCCUGCGCGCACGUUACAAAAGCAGGGAUACGCCGUGUAAAGAAGGUCAAGUUUUGUUUCAUCGUGAGUUCAAUAAUAGUCAGAAAACGUCCUAUGUCGAGGGACACCAAAUAUUGUCUUCGUUGCUGAUCCAUUGGGAUUUUGUUGCUGCUGCGCGUAGAGCCGAUCUAAUCUACUCAACGCUAGUUUCUUUUGAUCUUACGGUCUUGCAUAUUUGCUCGAUCGGAAUUUCUUGUGCUAUUGCCAGUAUCGUGAAAGAUCGGGCCGACGAACGACUCGCCAUCUAGUUGAGUCUUCAUCAACGUAGAGCUUAUCACACCCGAUCAUCAUGUGGUGUCUCAGCACGAAGAACUUCCACAAUGGUGCAUACUCAGGGAGAACACUUAUACCUUGAAAUUUAGUGAGAGAUCAUCUUAUAAUGCUACCGUCAAUCAAAGCAAAAUAAGAUGCAUAAAGGAUAAACAUCACAUGCAAUCAAUAUAAGUGAUAUGAUAUGGCCAUCAUCAUCUUGUGCUUGUGAUCACCAUCUCCGAAGCACCAUCAUGAUCACCAUCGUCACCGGCGCGACACCUUGAUCUUCAUCAUAGCAUCGUUGCCAUUUCGCCACCUAUUGCUUCUAUGACUAUCGCUACCGCUUAGUGAUAAAGUAAAGCAAUUACAGGGCGAUUGCAUUGCAUACAAUAAAGCGACAACCAUAUGGCUCCUGCCAGUUGCCGAUAACUCGGUUACAAAACAUGAUCAUCUCAUACAAUAAAAUAUAGCAUCACGUCUUGACCAUAUUACAUCACAACAUGCCCUGCAAAAACAAGUUAGACGUCCUCUACUUUGUUGUUGCAAGUUUUACGUGGCUGCUACGGGCUGAGCAAGAACGGUUCUUACCUACGCAUCAAAACCACAACGAUAGUUCGUCAAGUUAGUGCUUUUUUAACCUUCUCAAGGACUAGGUGUAGCCACACUCGGUUCAACUAAAGUUGGAGAAACUGACACCCGCCAGCCACCUAUGUGCAAAGCACGUCGGUAGAACCAGUCUCGCAUAAGCGUACGCGUAAUGUCGGUCCGGGCCACUUCAUCCAACAAUACCGCCGAACCAAAUUAUGACAUGCCGAUAAGCAGUAUGACUUGUAUCGCCCACAACUCACUUGUGUUCUACUCGUGCAUAUAACAUCUACGCAUAAAACCAGGCUCUGAUACCACUGUUGGGGAACGUAGUAAUUUCAAAAAAAAUCCUACGCACACGCAAGAUCAUGGUGAUGCAUAGCAACAAGAGGGGAGAGUGUGUCCACGUACCCUCGUAGACCGAAGCGGAAGCAUUAGCACAACGCGGUUGAUGUAGUCGUACGUCCUCACGCCCCGACCGAUCAAGCACCGAAAGCACGGCACCUCCGAGUUCUUGCACAUGUUCAGCCUGAUGACGUCCCUCAAACUCUGAUCCAGCCGAGUGUUGAGGGAGAGUUCCGUCAGCACGACGGCGUGGUGAUGAUGCUGAUGUUCUACCGAUGCAGGACUUCGCCUAAGCAUCGCUACGAUAUUAUCGAGGUGGAAUUUGGUGGAGGGGGGCACCGCACACGGCUAAUAGAUCUCAAGGAUCAAUUGUUGUUGUCUCUAGAGGUGCCCCCUGCCCCCGUAUAUAAAGGAGCAAGGGGGAGGGGGCGGCCGGCCAGGAGGGGGCGUGCCAGGAGGAGUCCUACUCCCACCGGGAGUAGGACUCCCUCCUUUCCUUGUCCAAGUAGGAGAGGGGGAAGGAAGGGAGAGAGGGGAGGAAGGAAAGGGGGGGGGGCGCCGCCCCCCUCCUUGUCCUAUUCGGACAAGAGGGGGAGGGGGCGCGCGGCCUGCCCUGGAUGCCCCUCCUCUUCUCCACUUUGGGCCCAUGAGGCCCAUUAACCCCCCCCCCCCAGGGGGUUCUGGUAACCCCCCGGUACUGCGGUAUAUAUCCGAUAACCCCCGGAACCAUUCCGGUGUCCGAAUAUAGUCGUCCAAUAUAUCAAUCUUCAUGUCUCGACCAUUUCGAGACUCCUCGUCAUGUCCGUGAUCACAUCCGGGACUCUGAACUAUCUUCGGUACAUCAAAAUACAUGAACUCAUAAUAUAACUGUCAUCUAACUUUAAGCGUGCGGACCCUACGGGUUCGAGAACUAUGUAGACAUGACCGAGACACGUUUUCGGUCAAUAACCAAUAGCGAAACCUAGAUGCUCAUAUUGGCUCCUACAUAUUCUAUGAAGAUCUUUAUCGGUCAAACCGCAUAACAACAUACGUUGUUCCCUUUGUCAUUGGUAUGUUACUUGCCCGAGAUUCGAUCGUCGGUAUCUCAAUACCUAGUUCAAUCUCGUUACCGGUAAGUCUCUUUACUCAUUAUGUAAUGCAGCAUUCCGUAACUAACUCAUUAGCUACAUUUCUUGCAAGGCUUAAAGUGAUGUGCAUUACCGAGAGGGCCCAGAGAUACCUCUCCGACAAUCGGAGUGACAAAACCUAAUCUCGAAAUACGCCAACUCAACAUGUACCUUUGGAGACACCUGUAGAGCUCCUUUAUAAUCACCCAGUUAUGUUGUGACAUUUGGUAGCACACAAAGUGUUCCUCCGGUAAACGGGAGUUGCAUAAUCUCAUAGUUGUAGGAACAUGUAUAAGUCAUGAAGAAAGCAAUAGCAACAUACUAAAUGAUCAAGUGCUAAGCUAACGGAAUGGGUCAAGUCAAUCACAUCAUUCUCCUAAUGAUGUGAUCCCGUUAAUGAAAUGACAACUCAUGUCUAUGGUUAGGAAACACAACCAUCUUUGAUUAACGAGCUAGUGAAGUAGAGGCAUACUAGUGACAUUAUGUUUGUCUAUGUAUUCACACAUGUAUUAUGUUUCCGGUUAAUACAAUUCUAGCUUGAAUAAUAAACAUUUAUCAUGAUAUAAGGAAAUAAAUAAUAACUUUAUUAUUGCCUCUAGGGCAUAUUUCCUUCAGUGGGGUGUUAGCGUAUUGUAUUGCAUGUGUACAUUGUACCUCACUACUAGGGAAAACCCUAGCAGUAGCGUGUGCUUAAAGCCUAUCAGUAGCGCGGGGUACCGCACUACUAGUAAGGCUCUACAGCUAAAGGUUAGCAGUAGCAUGGGUUGGACCGAGCUAUUGUAUAUCGACUUAGUAGCUGCGCUUUCUAAAACAAGCACUACUGGUAAUUAGUAGUAGCACUUCUCCUAGCACGCACUACUACUAUUAUUCUGUAUUUCAUUUUUAUUUCAUGUUGUAUUCAUACACCUUUAUACAAGUUUUCAUACCACAACAAUUUAGAGAAUGAUUUUACAUCAUAAUGAGUUAUUACAUCAGUGGGAGAAAGAACCGUGGACUAGUUUCAAGUGGAUGGACAUCCACUUGAAACUAAUCCACGGUUCUUUCACCCAAUGAUAUAAUAAAUAUCAUCAUCAUCAUCAUAUCAUUAACAACUUAUCAUCAUAAUACAUCAUUGUCAUAUAACACCUCCUCAUGAUCAUCGUUUUUAUCAAUGAGACAUCACAUACAAGUUGGUCAUGACUCACGAGACAUAAUCACAACUACUUAUCAUCAUCAACUCUCAUAAACAUAUUGUACCUCAUAGGACCUACUACAUUCUCUUAGGACCUACUAUAUUAUCUUAGGUAAAAUAGCAUAAAACAAGAUAGCCCCUGACUCUCCAUUAAGGAGAAUGGAGAUUAUCCUGUCUCCAAUUCUUGCCUUUCACACAAUGUUGCUUCCAAGAACCUCCUUAUGAAUGUCCAUACAUUUCUUCCAUUCUUUGAUUAUCAUGUGUUCAUCGUUUUUAAAAAUCCGGUAUGCACAGGUGAGAUUCAUAGGACGACAUGGCUGUACGUUCAAAACAUCAAGGCGACCAUUCUGAUACAUCAAAUGAGGCACACAAUCCAUUGGGAUUUUCUGUUGAAAAACAUAGUAAUAACUUCGUAGUUAGCAAUGUAGUUCCGUUUUAGAAGUAUGCAAAAGAUGCAUGGAUGUCGUAAUAGUAAAAAAUCUUACCAGGAAAUCUCCAUGGAAGGCAUCGUUGUUCAACACGUGCACUAGUGGCACGUAUUCACCAUAAUUUGGAGGAGUUCGAUAAAAGGCAUUGUAAUCCUCAAUGUCAGUACAAUAUGCGACCAGAUGAUUUUUCUCUUGAUAAGUUAACUCAGAGCCAUCGGUGUAGUUGGUUCUGUCUACCAUCUUCCGCACACUCUUUGAAGAAUGAAAAUAAGCUAUCAAUGGAAAUAAGCUGUCAACUAUUUUGAAAUAAAUAAUAUAAAUUACUUAAUAACUAUGUUUGAGGAACGCACAUAGCGGUAGAAUUGGAAGCGUAUCAAUAAGAACCCAAAUGUCCAAAUUGCCUUGGUCGAUGUCAGGAUCACCAAGAUCCAUGAUGACAAACAUACCUUCUUGAAAAUCAUACAUCUUGCAAAGUGCUUCCCAACCCGGGCAACCAAAAUUGGAUACGCUCUCAGAAUUGUAUAGAUUUACCUCAAAAUCCAUACCAUGAUGGGUCCUUAGGUUAAUUUUCUUUGUUUCAUUCCUCUCAUGAUCUUCAAAACCCAUCCUCUCCAAGACAUAGCGUCUUGCAUGGCAUGGGAUAAGCUAGUCGAAUUGUAAAAGACGAAAAUUACAUGUUGAAGUAGUAGAAGUCGAGUUUAAUUACAAAAAAAACACUUAGCGUCGUAGCGUACCGUUUCGCAAUCAAAGGCCUCCUCGAGCUUAAUGCUGAAGCGCCGACCUUCGUCCAGGUGAGGCCUGUCGCAGAAACCCCGGUUGUCGCCGCACCAGGAGCACUCCCCGGGACCUUCUUCGUCCGACGACAUUUCUUAUGUUCAUAAUUCAAAGAUUAAACUUGUACAAUUAAAUAUAUGUACUACAAAAACUAAAUUAGAUCAUUAUUAUUCAUCACGGGUUGACUAUGGGUCUGUCGAGUCUUUUCUUGAAAACCCUCAGCUCACGUGGUGUAUAUAUUCGGACCGUCGGUGAUGGUAGCUCCUCCUUUCGUUCCCGAGUGCAUUACACCAAAUUGUCUAGCACAUGGGAACGAAGGAGAAGCUACCCCCACGACAACAGUCGGGAUUCUUCGUCCUCUCAUAUAUGAUGGAUACUCUCCCUCAUGGAUUCCUCUCUGACAUUUGCGACCAUCGGUGAUGGUCGUUACUCCUCCUACCCCUAGUGCAUAACAAAGGUCUAGCACCCGGAGAAGAAGGAGAAACGACCCCCACGACAAUAGUCGGGAUUCUUCGGCCUCGGCAGUCUUAAAGUCAACCCAAAAUAUCGUUUAAUUAUCUUUCUAGAAAAUCUAGGCCACUCGAUAUUUCAUACACAUUCUAGCACAAGUCAUGCCAAAAUUCACGGAAAAUUCCGGCAUGACCUUUCCUAAAACAAGACAUAUCGAGUGCCUGAAAUUUGCCGGAACGGAAAUUAAUCAACACUCCGGCAAAAUAUAGGCCACUCGGAGGUGUAACCUGCAAACAUGACCAGCCACUUGGGCAACCACAUAUCCUAUUUGAGCAACACAAGAUAUACAUGUUUUUAUCUACAUCAUAUCUUAUAGGACUCAUAUUGACAUGGAGAUUUGGCUGGCUCACCUCGAGGUCGAAGGGGGUCAGUGAUGAGGACGACGGCGGGGAUGAUGGAGGGGCUCCUUGAUUUCUGCAAAAACCAAAACCCUAUAAGUUAUCACUAAUACAUCCCAAAUAGUAUCAUACAUAUAACAUCACUAAUGCAACUAAAACCCUAGCGAACGACAGGUAUCGACAACGAGGAUGCGGGAUAGGCAUCGUAGACGUAGAUGUGGGAAUAAUUGCUUAAACUAAAAAAAUAA
rnacentral:lncRNA from 1 species